GUAAGGAAUAUUGGUCAAUGGGCGCAAGCCUGAACCAGCCAUGCCGCGUGCAGGAAGACGGCCCUCCGGGUUGUAAACUGCUUUUGUACGGGAAUAAACCUCUCUACGUGUAGAGAGCUGAAUGUACCGUAAGAAUAAGGAUCGGCUAACUCCGUGCCAGCAGCCGCGGUAAUACGGAGGAUCCAAGCGUUAUCCGGAUUUAUUGGGUUUAAAGGGUGCGUAGGCGGCCUGUUAAGUCAGGGGUGAAAGACGGUGGCUCAACCAUCGCAGUGCCCUUGAUACUGAUGGGCUUGAAUGGACUAGAGGUAGGCGGAAUGUGACAAGUAGCGGUGAAAUGCAUAGAUAUGUCACAGAACACCGAUUGCGAAGGCAGCUUACUAUGGUCCUAUUGACGCUGAGGCACGAAAGCGUGGGGAUCGAACAGGAUUAGAUACCCCUGUAGUCC
rnacentral:rRNA from 1 species